GACGAACGCUGGCGGCGUGGAUUAGGCAUGCAAGUCGAACGGUAUCAUCCUUUCGGGGGUGAGAGAGUGGCGAACUGGUGAGUAACACGUAGGUUAUCUACCCUCAAGACGGGGACAACCCAGGGAAACUUGGGCUAAUACCGGAUGUGAGCAACUUUUAGUUGUUUGAAAGGUGGCGUAAGCUGUCGCUUGGGGAUGAGCCUGCGUCCUAUUAGUUAGUUGGUGAGGUAACGGCUCACCUAGGCAAUGAUAGGUAGGCGGCCUUAACGGGUGGUCGCCCACACUGGGAUUGAGAUACGGCCCAGACUCCUACGGGAGGCAGCAGUCGAGAAUAGUCUACAAUGGUCGGAAGACUGAUAGUGCGACGCCGCGUGAACGAUGAAUCCCUUCGGGGUGUAAAGUUCUUUUAUAUGUGAGCAGUGCUUCUUAUAUUAACAGUAUGGGAGAGAGAUAUUAGCAUAUGAAUAAGCAACGGCUAACUCCGUGCCAGCAGCCGCGGUAAAACG
rnacentral:rRNA from 1 species